rnacentral:rRNA from 1 species
GUGAGGAAUAUUGGUCAAUGGGCGAGAGCCUGAACCAGCCAAGUCGCGUGAAGGAUGAAGGUUUUAUGAAUUGUAAACUUCUUUUGCAGGGGAAUAAAGUACGGUACGUGUACCGUUUUGUAUGUACUCUGCGAAUAAGGAUCGGCUAACUCCGUGCCAGCAGCCGCGGUAAUACGGAGGAUCCAAGCGUUAUCCGGAUUUAUUGGGUUUAAAGGGUGCGCAGGCGGGUUGAUAAGUCAGCGGUGAAAGUUUGCAGCUUAACUGUAAAAAUGCCGUUGAAACUGUCGGACUUGAGUGUAAAUGAGGUAGGCGGAAUGCGUGGUGUAGCGGUGAAAUGCAUAGAUAUCACGCAGAACUCCGAUUGCGAAGGCAGCUUACUAAGCUACAACUGACACUGAAGCACGAAAGCGUGGGGAUCAAACAGGAUUAGAUACCCUAGUAGUCC